GUUCUGGGAUACUGACUAUUUUGAAAUAAAAGCACUUGAAAAGUAGCAGGUGAAGAAGACCACUCUGGCCUUCCUUCCGUUUCUAGAGUGGGGAUAAAACUCCCAUGUCAAAGAUGCCCUGCCUAUUCCAGAAGGAAAGCAUUAACUUAUCAUCAAGGAUGGAAAAUUAAGGCUGAGAGAAAUUUGUACAAAUAAAUGUAUGACCUGGGAAGAAACCCAGUGUAGAGAAGAAAGUAAAAACCUUCUCAGUGUAUCUUCUCAAAUGUAAGAAAAACAUCGUGGCAUACAUUGCUGAAAAUUCAUCUGUUCUGGCAUAUCAUCAAAGAAGAAGAAAGACUUUUAAUGAGAAACAAAGAUCCAGAAAUGAGCAUUUAUGAAAGAAGUGUUCCAGGGGAGACCAGCAAAGGAGGGCAGGAGAAGGAUGGAGAAAAGGAGAAGACAAGUCAGAGCAUGGUCUCAGCCUAAAUCUUCAGCAAGAUCCUGAACUCUGAAAAGUAAAUACUUCAGCACCUUCUCAUCUGGAGCCCAAGGAGAUUGUCCCCAUUCCCUCACUUGAUGGUGGUCAUGAAUAGUCAUCUCAAUUGGAGUACGGGGGCAGGUAUCAAUUCCCAGAAAGUGACCUUCUGGCAAGACAAAGACACCCUUUCAAAAUGGUAUGCAGCAUCUUUUAGGUUUUGGUGGAAAGGACAAUGAUAUGAGAGUGGGGGAAGCAUAUUACAGAAACAGUUAAUUUUGUGAUUUUUUUUUUUGUUUUAACCUAUUUUAAACUCUUUCUUGGACAUCUGUCAAGGAGAAAUGAAAGAUUGGCCUCUCCAUUUCUGUGUGACAAUGGAAGACAAGGCAAUGUAGAGGUGCAGAAUGACUUCCUGUCAUCAGGAGGGCCAUCACGAUGAAGGAUGAAGUUAGUACUUCCAACUUGUAUGUGGCAUCAGAGAAGUGCCCACUUGCUUCUGGACACUCUUGGCAUGAGAGAUGACUGCUCUAAACUAUAAAUGGGCUUUACUUAAUAAAAUUUAACAUGCAGAAAUCUAAAUGGACCACAGAGACAAAUUAGGGCAUGUCUACUUACAUUUCUAAAGCAUUUACUGAAGCUAAAAGGGCAAACAUAAGCAUUCCUGGAAACAGGUUCCAAGAAAUCGAAAAUAAUAAUCUUUGUAGGAGGUUAAAAAAACAAGGUUACUAAAAGAGAUCAGAAAUUUAUUUCCUUUUAGAUUUUUAACAAUGACUUAUGUGGGGCCAUAGGGUUAUUAUCCUGGAUGGAAGGUGGAGGAAAUGACCUUGCAAGGUUGCUCAGAUGUGAUCAAACUGUGUGGAAAUUGAGAUUUCACCUUUGUGUGGUAAGAGCUGUUUAUGUGCCAUACCAAGCAAUCCAGAGACAUAUGGAAGGAUCACCAAGUGCUGACAAAUGUAUAAAUCAUAGCGUUAUGUUUGUGUGACUUCUGCUUUAUUCAUCUGUCACAAGGAAAGAAUGAAGCCUGUGAUUAUCUUUAUCUUAGACUGGCAAAUGAAUGUGUGAAAGUUGAGAAAAAGGCAGACAUUGUAUUUGCCAGAAGCUCAUAAGCCACCAGAAGCUAUAAGUAAAUGUGUGAGAAUCAAUUUCUUAGUGCUUGGGAAUGUUAUCAACAUUUCAGUUGUAACUGCAAAUAAUGUGAGAUUUAAAAACAAAUACCAAAUACAUUUCUGUUUGGAAAUGUUUUAAACUCUGGUGUUUAUCAAUAACUAAAUAUUCUCACUCCACAAAAAGUUCUGACAUUUUACUUCCAGAAUAUUUUUUUCUCCUGAUAUACAUCUCUUCUUUUCCAUUACUCCUUUUUGUAACAAACAAUUGUACAAACAGGCAGACAAACAGUAAACCCCAGCCUUUAGUUGUGCUAUGUUGGCUCCAACUUAAAUGUUAUCUGGGCUUCUCAGCAGAAUCAUUUCAACAUGUUGUGUUUUAACUUUCCAUUCUCAUGCUUAUGUGGUUAUUGUUUUUUUUUUUUUUUUGAGAAGGAAGAGUAGGAGAAAUUAAAUCCAUCCUUUAUCAUAAUUUAUUUUUUAAUGAGCAAACAGAUGUGCAAUUGGCCUUUUUUCUUACAGCUUUUGGAUUGCCUGUCUCAUUGUGCAGUUUUGUUGGGUGAAUUCUGGGUCACUCUUGCUACUCAAGGCCGAAGGUCAUGUAGUGUGAUCCCUGGUAUGAUCAGCAGGAAGUAGAGCAGGAAAGCUGAUGGACACAAGUAGAUGUGGGUGUAGUGGUAUAAAGUUAUGUCCACCAAUUCUUUAAUUUUCUUCCCUUUAAGAGAUGGAGCAUAAUCUGUGUCUUCACUCAGGAUAGAACUUGCUUUUAAAGACUAGAGUAAGGCAAGAGUGACAGUGAGGGUGCAUGCCUUUAGAGUGAGGAGAUAAAGUCCCCCACCCUGUUAUUCAUUCUGGGGCAUGCCAGCCAACACAUGACACCAGGACACUCAAGCAGCUCUACAGAGAAGGGUCCAUGUGGCAUGGAA